UUUUGAUUGGACAGGAUUUGAAGGUACAAAAUCUAUUAUGUAUGUGCAAUUCAUUACAGUGUACGCUCGGCUGGAUUUCUAGGACUCAUGUGAGUUUGGCGUCCGCUGUCUCGUCGUGCUACAUGUAUAGUUUUUUUUUCGACAAACCAGGAAGAUAACAAAAUGAAGGGCGUCUUUAUACUGGCAUUAUUUACAGUGCUGUACAUCAUACAAUCUGUAAAUGGUGAAUGUUGGCAACCUAGGGAUUGCGUCUACGGUCAGACCUACGGCAAAUCACGAGAAGAAAAAUGCAGGGUCUUAUACAGCUAUAGAGAGUGUUUAGAACAUAGAGGUUGUUUCUAUGGUGACUAUUUAACCAAAUAUCAUACGUAUUAUUACUCUCUAGAUGUUGUAUGUGGUGGAUCUACGGUUACCAUAAGUGCCUCUCUGUUGAUGGUUUCGACGCUAAUUACGGCCUGGAUCUCCUAGACCAACCAAUCAAAAAUUGCCGCUCAGAAAUUGUGAAUAAUGUAUAUAAUACCAGAAGUAGCUGCAUAAUUCUGUGUAUAUAAUUAUUUAAAUCGCCUACGUAUUUAAAGAUGCAUUAUGCAAGUGCUAAAGGUCCUUAUUGCAGGUCUUAAUUCUGGCGUCAAAUGGUAUAUAAACUAUUUUUGUUACAUUUAUUAACAUGACAAACCUAAAAUAAUUUGUCAAGACCAUCGGAUGGCAGAGAAUUAAAUGGAUUAGAACGCCUACGAUUUUUUUUUAAAGUAACGAUAAAAUGGAUAAUCAAGACUUAGCCUCGUGUGUCCAGUACCGUUGUUACAAUAAUAAACAAUCUUCGCUCCGGAAUGUAUUCAUUUUACAUUAUCUAUUUUUGAACUAUUACAUCAAGAACGGCCAACUCUUCAGCUAAAUCAUACAUAAUGCAUCUUUAAAUAGCCUUUCAAUUCAGCCUGUGUUCUCGUCCAACUUAUUCACUUUCGCUUCUCUCCAUUCAGGAACUAAUCUGUGCAUUUCGAGGCCCAUGUAAAGUUGACGGACAGUUACAAUUAAGGGGUUCCAGCUCUGCCCCCGCCGUAUAAUCACGUGGUUUUAAAGCUCGUUUGAACGCGUUUGGCAGAUUUCGAUCUUCAUCACUUCAAAAUCAUAUUAAUCGAACAGUGUCAAACAUACCCUGGCUCAGAUAAGCUGCAAUUCGGCAUAACCCAAAAUGUCUCGUAGGGAACCUGUCUCGUAGGGAAAUUUUGCAAGGACAGCGGCGCUACGGUCUACUCUUAUUUACAAUUCCAACUGUCAAGGGUUCUUUUACGUGCAAGCUAAUGUGUACACGGAAGCUCAGCUCGGCUAUAAACUGUCCCUUGCCACUAACAAGCGUGAACCACGCCGGAAAAAUUUCCGAGGAACUCUCUUGGCCGGCGCAGAAUUCGAACACGGGACCUGCAGGUGGGCGAGCCAACGUCGUACCCACAGAACCAUCGUGGCUACCCAGGCCGGAACCCCCUAGCAAUCAAAAUGUUGGAGUUGUGUGCCACUACGGGAUCUUGUUCCUCGUGCAAAUUCAGCAGUUAAGUUAUCGAGCCUUUGGUAAACUUCUGAUUGAAUUUUAAAUCGCAGUUUGUUACCCUUUUACGCAAAAGGGUAACAAAUUUUGAAUUAGAAUUGUUGAAAUGCAACUUACUUUAAUUGUUAUGAAAAUACUAUAAUACAUGUAUAUAUUUUAAUUUUUCUGUUAACACUUUUUUUUAAAUAAAAAAAAUCGUUUUUCUA